rnacentral:rRNA from 1 species
AACGAACGCUGGCGGCAUGCCUAACACAUGCAAGUCGAACGAGACCUUCGGGUCUAGUGGCGCACGGGUGCGUAACGCGUGGGAACCUGCCCUUAGGUUCGGAAUAACUCCCCGAAAGGGGUGCUAAUACCGGAUAAUGUCUUCGGCCCAAAGAUUUAUCGCCUUUGGAUGGGCCCGCGUUGGAUUAGCUAGUUGGUAGGGUAAAAGCCUACCAAGGCGACGAUCCAUAGCUGGUUUGAGAGGAUGAUCAGCCACACUGGGACUGGGACACGGCCCAGACUCCUACGGGAGGCAGCAGUGGGGAAUAGUGGACAAUGGGCGAAAGCCUGAUGCAGCAAUGACGCGUGAGUGAUGAAGGCCGUAGGGUUGUAAAGCUCAUUUAACCGGGAUGAUAAUGACAGUACCGGGAGAAUAAGCCCCGGCUAACUCCGUG